AUCUACUUUUGUUUUUGUCGAAUUUA
rnacentral:sRNA from 1 species